rnacentral:rRNA from 1 species
AGAGUAACGGAGGAGCACGAAGGUGGGCUAAACACGGUUGGACAUCGUGUGGUUAGUGCAAUGGCAUAAGCCCGCUUGACUGCGAGAAUGACAAUUCGAGCAGGUGCGAAAGCAGGUCAUAGUGAUCCGGUGGUUCUGAAUGGAAGGGCCAUCGCUCAACGGAUAAAAGGUACUCCGGGGAUAACAGGCUGAUACCGCCCAAGAGUUCAUAUCGACGGCGGUGUUUGGCACCUCGAUGUCGGCUCAUCACAUCCUGGGGCUGAAGUCGGUCCCAAGGGUAUGGCUGUUCGCCAUUUAAAGUGGUACGCGAGCUGGGUUUAGAACGUCGUGAGACAGUUCGGUCCCUAUCUGCCGUGGGCGUUGGAAAAUUGAAAGGGGCUGCUCCUAGUACGAGAGGACCGGAGUGGACGAACCUCUGGUGUUCGGGUUGUCAUGCCAAUGGCAUUGCCCGGUAGCUAAGUUCGGAAUCGAUAACCGCUGAAAGCAUCUAAGCGGGAAGCGAGCCUUGAGAUGAGUUUUCCCUGGCACUAUAAGUGUCCUAAAGGGUUGUCGUAGACUACGACGUUGAUAGGCAGGGUGUGUAAGUGCUGCGAGGCAUUGAGCUAACCUGUACUAAUUGCCCGUGAGGCUUAACCAUACAACACCC